rnacentral:misc_RNA from 1 species
AAGACCUGAACGCUGCUGUGCGCUGCGCUGCCACUCCUUUGCAACGAUUGCAACUGCAGCAGGCUCGGCUCGCACCGCAAAGAGAAAGGCGUUGCUGCUUGGUGGUCCAUCGCGGCAGCACCCCUUCUUUUCUGCUGCUCGAGCUUAUGUCUAGCACCACAUCAUUCGCACCCGGAUGCUCCGUGGAAGCAGCUGAGCGAGCUGUGCACCGAUGCCGGGGCCUCAGCCGUUUUUCAAAUAGAGCCCCGGUCCUUCGUAAGUGCCGCACUGUUGCCCCCCUCUCCUCUCCCCGGCGCGCGCUGGAGGCUGCCGUGGGAAAGCGAUCCGGAGCAGCCUGCCGAAGCGCGGAGCAAGAAGCCGAGCCGCGGCAAGUGACGCAGCAGCAGCAGGUGCUCAGGCUCUCUGUGCCUGACUCCUGACCCAUGUAUCGUUGCGUUUCCGAUGAAGGCCUAUCGACAUUAUGGGAGGCGGUCAAGAGCAAGCCACCUGCUCCGCGUUUAGACUGGGGACGGCACGAGCGGCUGCACAUGCGGGAGUGGCCACGCGCCUACAGUGGACUCACCGGCUUUGCCCGCACUAUCCGCGCGAAGGGCGCCCUAGCCCUCGAGUGCAACCGUCAUGCCGCGGCGCGGCUGUAGGAGGAGCUGGCGGGCGUCUGCAAGGGCGCUGCCAACUACCACGCCGACUACGGUAACAGCGACGAUGGCGAGUGACAUGGCACAUCGACUCACUACUACUAUCAUGAGGUGGCACCGUGGUACGACCAGGAAGACAGGCGCGAAGGUGUUUUCCUUUUCUUUGCGGACAAUGGCUACGACAGCUCCGAUGAAGAUGAAGGGGACGAGCGCGAGAUGUUCUUUGGCGAGCGUAGACCGCCAACCGUGAUGAGAACGGGCGGCGGCAGUCAUGGCGUUGGUGGUGGCUGUGCUCCGCGCUACGUAGAUGCUGCCGUGAUGCAGCGAAUGGCCGAGCUGACGCAAGAGACAGUUCAGCUGCGUGGCGAGGUAGCACGGCUGCGAGAGGAACAGAAGCUUCAACGGUGAUGAGAAGAGGGGGAGAUGCGGGUGCUCCAUGGUCAGAGUCGGGGAAUCGAUUUGAGCGCCGAAUGGCGGGUGCGUCUCGACUGCACGGCGCAUGACGUCGCCGGCUAGCAAGGUCGCAUGUUUGAGAGAGAAGGCGCGGCACGAUCUCUGCGCGGCUCUGUCUCCGUGUCUGAUCGUUUCCAGUACGCCAUUCCUUCUUUUGCCGGUAUGUGUGUGUUUGCUCUUUGAUUCCCUCGCUUGCGGCUCCCUCGCUGUCCCACUCUGGUUUGCACAGCGGUGGGGCGCGCACUCCCAUGCGCUCGUCUGUGUGCACCGUGUGACGCGAGUGUGCAGCCCUCUCCCCUUGAUCACUGCUUUCGUGUACCUUGCUCUUUCCUUUCAGGCGCUGCUGCACACCUGUCAGCUCUCUUCCUGUUUACUUGAAAGAGGUGAGACAGCAGCGAGGCAGCUGUCUUCGUGCAACGUGAUGUGCCACUGACGCGAGCGUGUGUGGUCACCGUGCGUACGAGCACCACAGUAGCACCGACG